rnacentral:sRNA from 1 species
CCCUAGCCCUGAUAGUAGCGGUAUCUUUUAUACCUGACAGGUUUUUAAAACCUGUCAGGUAUAAAAAUAAAGCGGAUAGCAGGAAAUGGC